rnacentral:rRNA from 1 species
GACGAACGCUGGCGGCGUGCUUAACACAUGCAAGUCGAACGGAAAGGCCCUGCUUUUGUGGGGUGCUCGAGUGGCGAACGGGUGAGUAACACGUGAGUAACCUGCCCUUGACUUUGGGAUAACUUCAGGAAACUGGGGCUAAUACCGGAUAGGAGCUCCUGCUGCAUGGUGUGGGUUGGAAAGUUUCGGCGGUUGGGGAUGGACUCGGGGCUUAUCAGCUUGUUGGUGGGGUAGUGGCUUACCAAGGCUUUGACGGGUAGCCGGCCUGAGAGGGUGACCGGCCACAUUGGGACUGAGAUAGGGCCCGGACUGCUACGGGAGGCAGGGGUGGGGAAUAUUGCAAGAUGGGCGGAAGCAUGAUGCAGCAACGCCGCGUGCGGGAUGACGGCCUUCGGGUUGUAAACCGCUUUCGCCUGUGACGAAGCGUGAGUGACGGUAAUGUGUAAAGAAGCAACGGCUAACUACGUG